rnacentral:rRNA from 1 species
UACGAGAGGCCCAAACGUUAUUCGGAAUUACUGGGCUUAAAGAGUUCGUAGGCGGUUCGGUAAGUGGGGUGUGAAAGCCCUCGGCUCAACCGAGGAAUUGCGCUCCAAACUACCACACUCGAGGGAGAUAGAGGUGAGCAGAACUGAUGGUGGAGCGGUGAAAUGCGUUGAUAUCAUCAGGAAUACCGGAGGCGAAGGCGGCUCACUGGGUCUCUUCUGACGCUGAGGAACGAAAGCUAGGGGAGCAAACGGG